CUCGACUGCUGUGGUGAUGUCAUCGUGAGAAAGAGGAUGGGUGGCAGUGACCGUCGUCAGUUUUUUGGGCAGCCUCAGAAAAGAACAAAAAGUAAAGAGGGAGAGAGAGAGAGAGCAUGAGGAUGCCAACAGGGCAGGGAGAGCAGGAUUCAAGACUGGCUUUCAAAAUUGGAGGAAGGCACCGGAGAAAUUUAGUGCAUAAAGACAGCCAGUGUCACAUGUGCUGUGAUGACUCGGAUUCAGGAGCCAAAGCCUGUUAAUGUGCAACUUUCAUGUGAGCUGGAAAGACAGCAGCAACAAGCAAGGAAAUCUUAUGAAGAUUGUUGGGGGUGUGAAGUACUUGGCGCAGCAAGGUCAGGCUUUUCGAGGCGUUGAUAAGGAGAGUGGGAAUUUCAGCCAGCUUCUAAAGUACAAGGCAGAGGGCGAUGCAGAGCUGACCACCUGGCUGAAAUGUCACUUUGAUUUCAUCAGUCCCCAAAUGCAUUUUUUUAAAGCUAGUGGGCAAUAAAAUCGUCAAAGAAAUUGUGUCGGAAAUAACAUCAAUUCAAUUCAGUUCACACUUAUCAUUGAUGUCACCCAGGAUAUAUCAGGAGUUGAACAGGAGUCAAUAUGUUUGCGCUUUGUAGAUGCAUAUCUAGAACCAAAGGAAGAAUUCCUGGGACUCUAUGAAGUGUCAUCAACGACAGGGCAAAAUAUAGCCAAGAUGGCAUGUGAUGUGAGGAUGCGUCUAGGGCUUCCUCUGUCCCAACUUCCAGGACAAACCUAUGAUGGUGCCGCAAACAUGGCUGGAUGAUUGCAGGGGGUGCAAGACAUUUUAAGGAAAGAACAACCGCUGUGUAUGUAUUGUCACUGUGGUCCACACUGUGUGAACUUAGUUCUGCAGGCUGCCUGUGUAGCCUCUCCACUAUAAGAGAUUCAAUGGGUCUGGUGCAUGAAUUGGGGGGCUUCUUUAUUCAAUCUGGCAAGUUCAAGGUGAUUUUCCAGGAAAUCGCAAAAUCAAGCAUGGUUUCACCUCGUUGAAACUAGAGGCUGACUGAUUAUGAUUUUUCAACACCGAUACCGAUUAUUGGAGGACCAAAAAAGCCGAUACCGAUUAAUCGGCCGAUUGUUUUAUAUAUAUAAUAAUUGUAAUAAUGAUAAUUAGAACAAUACUGAAUUAACACUUAUUUUAACUUAAUAUAAUACAUCAAUCAAAUCUAUUUAGUCUCAAAUAAAUUAUGAAACAUGUUCAAUUUGGUUUAAAUAAUGCAAAAACAAAGUGUUGAAGAAUGUAAAAGUGUAAUAUCUGCCAUGUAAGAAAUAUAUGUGUAAGUAAGUAAUAUGUGCUAUGUAAAAAAGCUAACGUUUAAGUUCCUUGCUCAGAACAUGAGAACAUAUGAAAGCUUUUGGUUCCUUUUAACAUGAGUCUUCAAUAUU